GCUCCUUCGACGGCGCCGCCUAGGAACGCGGAGAAAAUAUGACAAAGGAACGGCCAAAAAUAAAAAGAAAGACCUUUCUUUUGAAAAAACAAACAAAAAAAAGGAAUGCAACACGAAGACUUCCCAGGAGGUCACCCAUCCUAGUACUACUCUCGCCCAAGCACGCUUAACUUCGGAGUUCUGAUGGGAUCCGGUGCUUUAGUGCUGGUAUGAUCGCAUCCGACAUACCGUGCGUUCUCCUCCCCUUUAUGCCCGCGCCUCCGUGUACGGCCCGCCCAUAGCUCCUUCGACGGCGCCGCCUAGGAACGCGGAGAAAAUAUGACAAAGGAACGGCCAAAAAUAAAAAGAAAGACCUUUCUUUUGAAAAAACAAACAAAAAAAAGGAAUGCAACACGAGGACUUCCCAGGAGGUCACCCAUCCUAGUACUACUCUCGCCCAAGCACGCUUAACUUCGGAGUUCUGAUGGGAUCCGGUGCUUUAGUGCUGGUAUGAUCGCAUCCGACAUACCGUGCGUUCUCCUCCCCUUUAUGCCCGCGCCUCCGUGUACGGCCCGCCCAUAGCUCCUUCGACGGCGCCGCCUAGGAACGCGGAGAAAAUAUGACAAAGGAACGGCCAAAAAUAAAAAGAAAGACCUUUCUUUUGAAAAAACAAACAAAAAAAAGGAAUGCAACACGAGGACUUCCCAGGAGGUCACCCAUCCUAGUACUACUCUCGCCCAAGCACGCUUAACUUCGGAGUUCUGAUGGGAUCCGGUGCUUUAGUGCUGGUAUGAUCGCAUCCGACAUACCGUGCGUUCUCCUCCCCUUUAUGCCCGCGCCUCCGUGUACGGCCCGCCCAUAGCUCCUUCGACGGCGCCGCCUAGGAACGCGGAGAAAAUAUGACAAAGGAACGGCCAAAAAUAAAAAGAAAGACCUUUCUUUUGAAAAAACAAACAAAAAAAAGGAAUGCAACACGAGGACUUCCCAGGAGGUCACCCAUCCUAGUACUACUCUCGCCCAAGCACGCUUAACUUCGGAGUUCUGAUGGGAUCCGGUGCUUUAGUGCUGGUAUGAUCGCAUCCGACAUACCGUGCGUUCUCCUCCCCUUUAUGCCCGCGCCUCCGUGUACGGCCCGCCCAUAGCUCCUUCGACGGCGCCGCCUAGGAACGCGGAGAAAAUAUGACAAAGGAACGGCCAAAAAUAAAAAGAAAGACCUUUCUUUUGAAAAAACAAACAAAAAAAAGGAAUGCAACACGAGGACUUCCCAGGAGGUCACCCAUCCUAGUACUACUCUCGCCCAAGCACGCUUAACUUCGGAGUUCUGAUGGGAUCCGGUGCUUUAGUGCUGGUAUGAUCGCAUCCGACAUACCGUGCGUUCUCCUCCCCUUUAUGCCCGCGCCUCCGUGUACGGUCCGCCCAUAGCUCCUUCGACGGCGCCGCCUAGGAACGCGGAGAAAAUAUGACAAAGGAACGGCCAAAAAUAAAAAGAAAGUCCUUUCUUUUGAAAAAACAAACAAAAAAAAGGUAUGCAACACGAGGACUUCCUAGGAGGUCACCCAUCCUAGUACUACUCUCGCCCAAGCACGCUUAACUUCGGAGUUCUGAUGGGAUCCGGUGCUUUAGUGCUGGUAUGAUCGCAUCCGACAUACCGUGCGUUCUCCUCCCCUUUAUGCCCGCGCCUCCGUGUACGGCCCGCCCAUAGCUCCUUCGACGGCGCCGCCUAGGAACGCGGAGAAAAUAUGACAAAGGAACGGCCAAAAAUAAAAAGAAAGACCUUUCUUUUGAAAAAACAAACAAAAAAAAGGAAUGCAACACGAGGACUUCCCAGGAGGUCACCCAUCCUAGUACUACUCUCGCCCAAGCACGCUUAACUUCGGAGUUCUGAUGGGAUCCGGUGCUUUAGUGCUGGUAUGAUCGCAUCCGACAUACCGUGCGUUCUCCUCCCCUUUAUGCCCGCGCCUCCGUGUACGGCCCGCCCAUAGCUCCUUCGACGGCGCCGCCUAGGAACGCGGAGAAAAUAUGACAAAGGAACGGCCAAAAAUAAAAAGAAAGACCUUUCUUUGAAAAAACAAAGAAAUAAAAGGAAUGCAACACGAGGACUUCCCAGGAGGUCACCCAUCCUAGUACUACUCUCGCCCAAGCACGCUUAACUUCGGAGUUCUGAUGGGAUCCGGUGCUUUAGUGCUGGUAUGAUCGCAUUCGACAUACCGUGCGUUCUCCUCCCCUUUAUGCCCGCGCCUCCGUGUACGGCCCGCCCAUAGCUCCUUCGACGGCGCCGCCUAGGAACGCGGAGAAAAUAUGACAAAGGAACGGCCAAAAAUAAAAAGAAAGACCUUUCUUUUGAAAAAACAAACAAAUAAAAGGAAUGCAACACGAGGACUUCCCAGGAGGUCACCCAUCCUAGUACUACUCUCGCCCAAGCACGCUUAACUUCGGAGUUCUGAUGGGAUCCGGUGCUUUAGUGCUGGUAUGAUCGCAUCCGACAUACCGUGCGUUCUCCUCCCCUUUAUGCCCGCGCCUCCGUGUACGGCCCGCCCAUAGCUCCUUCGACGGCGCCGCCUAGGAACGCGGAGAAAAUAUGACAAAGGAACGGCCAAAAAUAAAAAGAAAGACCUUUCUUUUGAAAAAACAAACGCCUCCGUGUACGGCCCGCCCAUAGCUCCUUCGACGGCGCCGCCUAGGAACGCGGAGAAAAUAUGACAAAGGAACGGCCAAAAAUAAAAAGAAAGACCUUUCUUUUGAAAAAACAAACAAAAAAAAGGAAUGCAACACGAGGACUUCCCAGGAGGUCACCCAUCCUAUUACUACUCUCGCCCAAGCACGCUUAACUUCGGAGUUCUGAUGGGAUCCGGUGCUUUAGUGCUGGUAUGAUCGCAUCCGACAUACCGUGCGUUCUCCUCCCCUUUAUGCCCGCGCCUCCGUGUACGGCCCGCCCAUAGCUCCUUCGACGGCGCCGCCUAGGAACGCGGAGAAAAUAUGACAAAGGAACGGCCAAAAAUAAAAAGAAAGACCUUUCUUUUGAAAAAACAAACAAAAAAAAGGAAUGCAACACGAGGACUUCCCAGGAGGUCACCCAUCCUAGUACUACUCUCGCCCAAGCACGCUUAACUUCGGAGUUCUGAUGGGAUCCGGUGCUUUAGUGCUGGUAUGAUCGCAUCCGACAUACCGUGCGUUCUCCUCCCCUUUAUGCCCGCGCCUCCGUGUACGGCCCGCCCAUAGCUCCUUCGACGGCGCCGCCUAGGAACGCGGAGAAAAUAUGACAAAGGAACGGCCAAAAAUAAAAAGAAAGACCUUUCUUUUGAAAAAACAAACAAAAAAAAGGAAUGCAACACGAGGACUUCCCAGGAGGUCACCCAUCCUAGUACUACUCUCGCCCAAGCACGCUUAACUUCGGAGUUCUGAUGGGAUCCGGUGCUUUAGUGCUGGUAUGAUCGCAUCCGACAUACCGUGCGUUCUCCUCCCCUUUAUGCCCGCGCCUCCGUGUACGGCCCGCCCAUAGCUCCUUCGACGGCGCCGCCUAGGAACGCGGAGAAAAUAUGACAAAGGAACGGCCAAAAAUAAAAAGAAAGACCUUUCUUUUGAAAAAACAAACAAAUAAAAGGAAUGCAACACGAGGACUUCCCAGGAGGUCACCCAUCCUAGUACUACUCUCGCCCAAGCACGCUUAACUUCGGAGUUCUGAUGGGAUCCGGUGCUUUAGUGCUGGUAUGAUCGCAUCCGACAUACCGUGCGUUCUCCUCCCCUUUAUGCCCGCGCCUCCGUGUACGGCCCGCCCAUAGCUCCUUCGACGGCGCCGCCUAGGAACGCGGAGAAAAUAUGACAAAGGAACGGCCAAAAAUAAAAAGAAAGACCUUUCUUUUGAAAAAACAAACAAAUAAAAGGAAUGCAACACGAGGACUUCCCAGGAGGUCACCCAUACUAGUACUACUCUCGCCCAAGCACGCUUAACUUCGGAGUUCUAAUGGGAUCCGGUGCUUUAGUGCUGGUAUGAUCGCAUCCGACAUACCGUGCGUUCUCCUCCCCUUUAUGCCCGCGCCUCCGUGUACGGCCCGCCCAUAGCUCCUUCGACGGCGCCGCCUAGGAACGCGGAGAAAAUAUGACAAAGGAACGGCCAACAAUAANNNNNNNNNNNNNNNNNNNNNNNNNNNNNNNNNNNNNNNNNNNNNNNNNNNNNNNNNNNNNNNNNNNNNNNNNNNNNNNNNNNNNNNNNNNNNNNNNNNNGUCACCCAUCCCAGUACUACUCUCGCCCAAGGCACGCUUAACUUCGGAGUUCUGAUGGGAUCCGGUGCUUUAGUGCUGGUAUGAUCGCAUCCGACAUACCGUGCGUUCUCCUCCCCUUUAUGCCCGCGCCUCCGUGUACGGCCCGCCCAUAGCUCGUUCGACGCCGCCGCCUAGGAACCCGGAGAAAAUAUGACAAAGGAACGGCCAAAAAUCCAAAGAAAGAUCUUUCUUUUGAAAAAACCACCAUAAAAGGAAUGCAACACGAGGACUUCCCAGGAGGUCACCCAUCCUAGUACUACUCUCGCCCAAGCACGCUUAACUUCGGAGUUCUGAUGGGAUCCAGUGCUUUAGUGCUGGUAUGAUCGCAUCCGACAUACCGUGCGUUCUCCUCCCCUUUAUGCCCGCGCCUCCGUGUACGGCCCGCCCAUAGCUCGUUCGACGGCGCCGCCUAGGAACGCGGAGAAAAUAUGACAAAAGAACGGCCAAAAAUAAAAAGAAAGACCUUUCUUUUGAAAAAAGAAACAAAAAAAGGAAUGCAACACGAGGACUUCCCAAGAGGUCACCCAUCCUAGUGCUACUCUCGCCCAAGCACGCUUAACUUCGGAGUUCUGAUGGGAUCCGGUGCUUCAGUGCUGGUAUGAUCGCAUCCGAUAUACCGUGCGUUCUCCUCCCCUUUAUGCCCGCGCCUCCGUGUACGGCCCGCCCAUAGCUCGUUCGACGGCGCCGCCUAGGAACGCGGAGAAACUAUGACAAAGGAACGGCCAAAAAUAAAAAGAAAUACCUUUCUUUUGAAAAAACAAACAAAAAAAGGAAUGCAACACGAGAACUUUCCACGAGGUCACCCAUCCUAGUACUACUCUCGUCCAAACACGCUUAACUUCAGAGUUCUAAUGGGAUCCGGUGCUUUAGUGCUGGUAUGAUCGCAUCCGACAUACCGUGCGUUCUCCUCCCCUUUAUGCCCGCGCCUCCGUGUACGGCCCGCCCAUAGCUCCUUCGACGGCGCCGCCUAGGAACGCGGAGAAAAUAUGACAAAGGAACGGCCAAAAAUAAAAAGAAAGACCUUUCUUUUGAAAAAACAAACAAAAAAAGGAAUGCAACACGAGGACUUCCCAGGAGGUCACCCAUCCUAGUACUACUCUCGCCCAAGCACGCUUAACUUCAAAGUUCUGAUGGGAUCCGGUGCUUUAGUGCUGGUAUGAUCGCAUCCGACAUACCGUGCGUUCUCCUCCCCUUUAUGCCCGCGCCUCCGUGUACGGCCCGCCCAUAGCUCCUUCGACGGCGCCGCCUAGGAACGCGGAGAAAAUAUGACAAAGGAACGGCCAAAAAUAAAAAGAAAGACCUUUCUUUUGAAAAAACAAACAAAAAAAGGAAUGCAACACGAGGACUUCCCAGGAGGUCACCCAUCCUAGUACUACUGUCGCCCAAGCACGCUUAAGUUCGGAGUUCUGAUGGGAUCCGGUGCUUUAGUGCUGGUAUGAUCGCAUCCGACAUGCCGUGCGUUCUCCUCCCCUUUAUGCCCGCGCCUCCGUGUACGGCCCGCCCAUAGCUCCUUCGUCGGCGCCGCCUAGGAACGCGGAGAAAAUAUGACAAAGGAACGGCCAAAAAUAAAAAGAAAGACCUUUCUUUUGAAAAAACAAACGCCUCCGUGUACGGCCCGCCC
rnacentral:lncRNA from 1 species